ncrna:Arabidopsis thaliana miR5635d stem-loop (ath-MIR5635d)
AUCGUUGACACGGCCAAAUCGACUCACCAUUAACACUUCUUAACAGCUCUCCUAACAGCGUAACUAACAACUGUUUUUGUCCUUAAACCAACGAUAACGGCUGUUAGGCCAUGUUUUGUAACGGCUGUUAGGAGCGCUGUUAAGGAGUGUUAACGGUGAGUCUAUUUGGCUGGGUCAACGAU